rfam:Erinaceus europaeus unplaced genomic scaffold scaffold00997, whole genome shotgun sequence
UUGCCCUCUUAAGGCUGGGCGUUGGUGUGGUGCUCUGAGAGGCUGACAUGGAAGGGGAGAGCAAGUCUCCAUAAUAUCCUGAGAGACUGCAAAAUUCCUCUCUGGAGUCUGUCUCGAGUCACAGUU